UGGGACAGAUGAAUCUUCGACCACACCGACUGAAGAAGGUGAUAGCGACUCCACCGUCAGCGACGAGCCAGAAACUACAGAAACUCCACAAGAUGAAGCUGCUGAAACUACAGAGAGCGAGAUUCAAACCAGCACCGCGCCUGGGACAGAUGAAUCUUCGACCACACCGACUGAAGAAGGUGAUAGCGAUUCCACCGUCAGCGACGAGCCAGAAACUACAGAAACUCCACAAGAUGAAGCUGCUGAAACUACAGAGAGCGAGGUUCAAACCAGCACCGCGCCUGGGACAGACGAAUCUUCGACCACACCGACUGAAGAAGGUGAUAGCGAUUCCACCGUCAGCGACGAGCCAGAAACUACAGAAACUCCACAAGAUGAAGCUGCUGAAACUACAGAGAGCGAGGUUCAAACCAGCACCGCGCCUGGGACAGAUGAAUCUUCGACCACACCGACUGAAGAAGGUGAUAGCGACUCCACCGUCAGCGACGAGCCAGAAACUACAGAAACUCCACAAGAUGAAGCUGCUGAAACUACAGAGAGUGAGGUUCAAACCAGCACCGCGCCUGGGACAGAUGAAUCUUCGACCACACCGACUGAAGAAGGUGAUAGCGACUCCACCGUCAGCGACGAGCCAGAAACUACAGAAACUCCACAAGAUGAAGCUGCUGAAACUACAGAGAGCGAGAUUCAAACCAGCACCGCGCCUGGGACAGAUGAAUCUUCGACCACACCGACUGAAGAAGGUGAUAGCGAUUCCACCGUCAGCGACGAGCCAGAAACUACAGAAACUCCACAAGAUGAAGCUGCCGAAACUACAGAGAGCGAGGUUCAAACCAGCACCGCGCCUGGGACAGAUGAAUCUUCGACCACACCGACUGAAGAAGGUGAUAGCGAUUCCACCGUCAGCGACGAGCCAGAAACUACAGAAACUCCACAAGAUGAAGCUGCCGAAACUACAGAGAGCGAGGUUCAAACCAGCACCGCGCCUGGGACAGACGAAUCUUCGACCACACCGACUGAAGAAGGUGAUAGCGAUUCCACCGUCAGCGACGAGCCAGAAACUACAGAAACUCCACAAGAUGAAGCUGCUGAAACUACAGAGAGCGAGGUUCAAACCAGCACCGCGCCUGGGACAGAUGAAUCUUCGACCACACCGACUGAAGAAGGUGAUAGCGAUUCCACCGUCAGCGACGAGCCAGAAACUACAGAAACUCCACAAGAUGAAGCUGCCGAAACUACAGAGAGCGAGGUUCAAACCAGCACCGCGCCUGGGACAGAUGAAUCUUCGACCACACCGACUGAAGAAGGUGAUAGCGAUUCCACCGUCAGCGACGAGCCAGAAACUACAGAAACUCCACAAGAUGAAGCUGCCGAAACUACAGAGAGCGAGGUUCAAACCAGCACCGCGCCUGGGACAGACGAAUCUUCGACCACACCGACUGAAGAAGGUGAUAGCGAUUCCACCGUCAGCGACGAGCCAGAAACUACAGAAACUCCACAAGAUGAAGCUGCUGAAACUACAGAGAGCGAGGUUCAAACCAGCACCGCGCCUGGGACAGAUGAAUCUUCGACCACACCGACUGAAGAAGGUGAUAGCGAUUCCACCGUCAGCGACGAGCCAGAAACUACAGAAACUCCACAAGAUGAAGCUGCUGAAACUACAGAGAGCGAGGUUCAAACCAGCACCGCGCCUGGGACAGACGAAUCUUCGACCACACCGACUGAAGAAGGUGAUAGCGAUUCCACCGUCAGCGACGAGCCAGAAACUACAGAAACUCCACAAGAUGAAGCUGCUGAAACUACAGAGAGCGAGGUUCAAACCAGCACCGCGCCUGGGACAGAUGAAUCUUCGACCACACCGACUGAAGAAGGUGAUAGCGAUUCCACCGUCAGCGACGAGCCAGAAACUACAGAAACUCCACAAGAUGAAGCUGCUGAAACUACAGAGAGCGAGGUUCAAACCAGCACCGCGCCUGGGACAGACGAAUCUUCGAGCACACCGACUGAAGAAGGUGAUAGCGAUUCCACCGUCAGCGACGAGCCAGAAACUACAGAAACUCCACAAGAUGAAGCUGCUGAAACUACAGAGAGCGAGGUUCAAACCAGCACCGCGCCUGGGACAGACGAAUCUUCGACCACACCGACUGAAGAAGGUGAUAGCGAUUCCACCGUCAGCGACGAGCCAGAAACUACAGAAACUCCACAAGAUGAAGCUGCCGAAACUACAGAGAGCGAGGUUCAAACCAGCACCGCGCCUGGGACAGAUGAAUCUUCGACCACACCGACUGAAGAAGGUGAUAGCGAUUCCACCGUCAGCGACGAGCCAGAAACUACAGAAACUCCACAAGAUGAAGCUGCUGAAACUACAGAGAGCGAGGUUCAAACCAGCACCGCGCCUGGGACAGAUGAAUCUUCGACCACACCGACUGAAGAAGGUGAUAGCGACUCCACCGUCAGCGACGAGCCAGAAACUACAGAAACUCCACAAGAUGAAGCUGCUGAAACUACAGAGAGCGAGGUUCAUACCAGCACCAUGCCUACACCGCCUGAGGAAGAAAUUACGGAUGAGGUAACCAGUACAUUGUCGACAACGACAUUGGAACCCAUUGAGGAAUGUACGGACUAUGCUCCUCCACCACCUGCUCUGAGAAAAUUGUAUGAGAAGUUGAAGCCACAUUUGAACGCUUCUUCUCGUGCCACACCAACUGAUCGGAGAAAGUACCCUAGUUACCGGAAACUGAUCAAAGAUAUCACCAAGAUUUCGGUUAGCUCCAGUUCCUUCAGUCAGAAGGUGAAAACCGUGAUCACCAGUUUCCAAAGCAGCAUUGACGAAUCAGUAGAUCUGCAAAGGAAAUACUACGAGGCAACCCGAGUGAACAUGCUGUUCCAGCUGAAAAACCACGUCCAGGAUUUGUUUAACAAGUUUACCGAUCUAGUCAGCCGGUCUCUGCUAAACAGCGGAGUUUGCAAUGCGCAGAGUCAAGCCUGUUGGGAUAAAUUGAAUUCUGAACUGCCCCGCUUCAUGGACGACAUGAACCAGGAAAUUGUGACCUGCGAUGUUAUUUUUAAUGCCAACAUUGAAAAUCCCCAGGGCACAUUGGUUAGGACUACGACGGUCGACCGUAUUGGUAAGGAGUAUGAUAACAUCCAAGCAAAAUGUUUAACGACUGGCCAAAGUAACGAUAAAACACUAGCUUGCCUUAUGAAGAACUUACCCUACUACGUCCCAAGAAGUGCAGCUUACUUCAGUAGCUUGGAAAACGCGGUCAACCAAGGCACAAACCUGAUGGGCUACGUGACGAAAAUGGCCGAAAGUUGCUACGACAAUGCCUACAGCACUCGUACCCAAUUGUUCAACAACGGCAUGACCAAACUGAACGCGUGCGUCCAAGGUGAAACCAGCUCCGAUGUUCGGCUGCACCAGGAGCUAGACAAAUAAUAAGCGAUUUGAUCCACGCGCGUCAAUAUCCAAUGGAAUGUCCACAUCGGACGGUAAUCUCUGUACGAACUAGUACUCAUCGGGGCGUGUAAAAAAUGUUGUUGAAAGGCACAGCCUUGUGGAAAUGGCGAUAAGCAGGGGGUGAAAGAAAAUUUAAGGGUAUUUGGCCCGAACAAUAACACUAGACAACCCUUUUUUCGCCCUUUCCGACGUUCGAGAGCCCUUUCUCCCCAAGAAAACAAUAACUUGGGGUGUGUAAGGGUGUGUUUUGUAGAAUAAAAAAAAACC